UACGUAGGGGGGCGAGCGUUGUCCGGAUUUACUGGGCGUAAAGCGCACGUAGGCGGAUCGUUAAGUCAGGGGUGAAAUCCUGGAGCUCAACUCCAGAACUGCCUUUGAUACUGGCGAUCUUGAGUCCGGAAGAGGUGAGUGGAACUCCUAGUGUAGAGGUGGAAUUCGUAGAUAUUAGGAAGAACACCAGUGGCGAAGGCGGCUCACUGGUCCGGUACUGACGCUGAGGUGCGAAAGCGUGGGGAGCAAACAGG
rnacentral:rRNA from 1 species